rnacentral:rRNA from 1 species
CCUACGGGCGGCAGCAGUAGGGAAUAUUGCUCAAUGGGGGAAACUCUGAAGUAGCAACGCCGCGUGGAGGAUGACGGUUUUCUGAUUGUAAACUCCUUUUGUUAGAGAAGAUAAUGACGGUAUCUAACGAAUAAGCACCGGCUAACUCCGUGCCAGCAGCCGCGGUACUACGGAGGGUGCAAGCGUUAGUCGGAAUCACUGGGCGUAAAGAGCGCGUAGGCGGGAUAGCAAGUCAGAUGUGAAAUCCUAGGGCUUAACCAUAGAACUGCAUUUGAAACUGUUAGUCUAGAGUAUGGGAGAGGUAGGUGGAAUUCUUGGUGUAGGGGUAAAAUGCGUAGAGAUCAAGAGGAAUACUCAUUGCGAAGGCGACUUGCUAGAACACAACUGACGCUGAGGCGCGAAAGCGUGGGGAGCAAACAGGAUUAGAUACCCCAGUAGUC